rnacentral:rRNA from 1 species
CAACUUUCAACAACGGAUCUCUUGGCUCUCGCAUCGAUGAGGAACGUAGCGAAUUACGAUAUGUAAUGUGAAUUGCAGAAUUCAGUGAAUCAUCGAAUCUUUGAACGCACCUUGCGCUCUUUGGUAUUCCGAAGAGCAUGCCUGUUUGAGUGUCAU